GUGGUUGAAUUUGAAGAAAAUGUAGAAAACUACAAAGCUGGAACUAAGUGGUUCUGUCAUUUAAUCUUUGGACAGGUUUGGACAAAGGCUCUGGACCUUAUUACAAAGCUAUCGGAGGGUGUUUGAUUGUUGUGGUGUUCUGCUUCGUGACUUUUUUACCAAUUUCCUGGCACAGAAGAACAAAACAGAACAGAAGGCUUCAAAAUGUGGAAAAAAAUGGAACCCAAAGAAGAAUUACUCAGAAUGAAGAAUAUCCUCUGCUGCAAAGAAACACUGAAGAGAAGACAUGUAACCAGAGAAAACCCAUAAAGCAAAUUUCAACACCAGAAGCGUCAUCACCACCUGAUUUUGAAGGCUUUCCAUAUAAAGAUAGACUUAAAAGAUUGAAAAAAACAAAAUCUUUUUAAAAUAUUUAUUUGUGAAAUGCACAAUGGUAAGCUUCCCACAGUGCAUGUAGACACUGUGGUGGGGGUGAGGUUUAGAACUAAAGUUGAAUUGAGUUUAGUUUAGGGUUAGGUAGGUGUUGGUAAUAGUUAGGGUAAGGGUCUGGAUUAGGCAAUAUAAGUUAGUGGGAAAUGAACUGAAGUCAAUAGAAAGUGCCUACAAGGCUAGUGUGACACAAAAUGUUGAAGCUAUAACAUUAAAUAAAUCAGAUAAUAAAUCUAUAGCAGACUCCCAAACUGUAGGUUUCAUGAAAAGCUCAAGCUGUGAAAAAAAAAGAAAAAAAAAAGAUUGAUACUGAAGGCAAACAGCCUCAUGCUGUCUCUAGAGUUAUGUCUGAGGAUGUGUUUUUAACCAGAUGUGUGCCCCUUUCAGAAGCGCUGCGAUCUGUAACGCUUAGCAAAUUCUCUGGUCUGAGUAACAUUACAAUUUAUGUCAAAUCCUGUUGUCAUCAUGGUUAUUUGAUACGUAUAGAUUAUGAAUUGUUAUUUAAAGAGUUUGUCCCAAGUUAUCUCUUCUUGAGAAAAGAACCAGAGAGAGAAUGCUGAAAGGUGUAAACGCAAAGCUUUCCUUUACCUUCAUUGAGUCACUUUGCUGUUUCCACCAAUCCUCUGUUACAAAGGACGAUGACCACUUUAUUGUUUGCUGCAAUGUCAAGUACCGUUGUCCCUUCCUUGUCAUUCAAGCCACUAAAUAAGGUAAACAUGCCCACUGUUAUAUUCAACACUAGCAAAGGAAUAACGUGAAGUUACGCAAUAACAGUAUAUCAGGAAACAAGCGUAGCGCUAACGUCUGCUGGGAUGGUGACCUCAUCUGCCGAAAUUAAACUGUUCUGUUUACUGUGCUAAUAAUGACUGAAAUAUAGAAUUUAUUCUCAUAGAAGCUUUUCAAUGGGUUUAGUAAAAUCUACCAAAUCUAUUUUUGCUGCAUUGUAUUUUAACCAGAUGUGGAGAUUAAAACAAAACUGUUGCAUGAAGACUUAAAUUCAUGAGUGACAGACUCUAUUGGAGGACCAGAAAUCAUAUUUUUUAUGAUUUAUUUUUAUGAAUCUUUAUUUCUUUUGUCACUGUACGUUUUGUUUUAAAUAAA